rnacentral:rRNA from 1 species
UAUGUCUGGGAACUGCCUGRUGGAGGGGGAUAACUACUGGAAACGGUAGCUAAUACCGCAUAACGUCGCAAGACCAAAGAGGGGGACCUUCGGGCCUCUUGCCAUCGGAUGUGCCCAGAUGGGAUUAGCUAGUAGGUGGGGUAACGGCUCACCUAGGCGACGAUCCCUAGCUGGUCUGAGAGGAUGACCAGCCACACUGGAACUGAGACACGGUCCAGACUCCUACGGGAGGCAGCAGUGGGGAAUAUUGCACAAUGGGCGCAAGCCUGAUGCAGCCAUGCCGCGUGUAUGAAGAAGGCCUUCGGGUUGUAAAGUACUUUCAGCGGGGAGGAAGGGAGUAAAGUUAAUACCUUUGCUCAUUGACGUUACCCGCAGAAGAAGCACCGGCUAACUCCGUGCCAGCAGCCGCGGUAAUACGGAGGGUGCAAGCGUUAAUCGGAAUUACUGGGCGUAAAGCGCACGCAGGCGGUUUGUUAAGUCAGAUGUGAAAUC